rnacentral:rRNA from 1 species
CACGAAGCCGGAAUCGCUAGUAAUCGCGGAUCAGAAUGCCGCGGUGAAUACGUUCCCGGGUCUUGUACACACCGCCCGUCACACCAUGGGAGCCGGGAAUGCCCGAAGUCAGUGGCCCAACCGCAAGGAGGGAGCUGCCGAAGGCAGGCCCGGUGACUGGGGUGAAGUCGUAACAAGGUAUC